rnacentral:rRNA from 1 species
GAUGAACGCUGGCGGCGUGCCUAAUACAUGCAAGUCGAGCGAACAGAUGAGGAGCUUGCUCCUCUGACGUUAGCGGCGGACGGGUGAGUAACACGUGGAUAACCUACCUAUAAGACUGGGAUAACUUCGGGAAACCGGAGCUAAUACCGGAUAAUAUAUUGAACCGCAUGGUUCAAUAGUGAAAGACGGUUUUGCUGUCACUUAUAGAUGGAUCCGCGCCGCAUUAGCUAGUUGGUAAGGUAACGGCUUACCAAGGCAACGAUGCGUAGCCGACCUGAGAGGGUGAUCGCCCACACUGGAACUGAGACACGGUCCAGACUCCUACGGGAGGCAGCAGUAGGGAAUCUUCCGCAAUGGGCGAAAGCCUGACGGAGCAACGCCGCGUGAGUGAUGAAGGUCUUCGGAUCGUAAAACUCUGUUAUUAGUGAAGAACAAAUGUGUAAGUAACUAUGCACGUCUUGACGGUACCUAAUCAGAAAGCCACGGCUAACUACGUG